UACGGAGGAUGCAAGCGUUAUCCGGAAUGAUUGGGCGUAAAGCGUCCGCAGGUGGCAAUGUAAGUCUGCUGUUAAAGAGUCUAGCUCAACUAGAUAAAAGCAGUGGAAACUACAUAGCUAGAGUACGUUCGGGGCAGAGGGAAUUCCUGGUGUAGCGGUGAAAUGCGCAGAUAUCAGGAAGAACACCCGUGGCGAAGGCGGCUCUCUGGGACGGUACUGACGCUGAGACGCGAAAGCGUGGGGAGCGAACAGG
rnacentral:rRNA from 1 species